rnacentral:rRNA from 1 species
GAUGAACGCUAGCUACAGGCUUAACACAUGCAAGUCGAGGGGAAACGAUAUUGGAAGCUUGCUUCCGAUAGGCGUCGACCGGCGCACGGGUGAGUAACGCGUAUCCAACCUGCCCAUCACUUGGGGAUAACCUUGCGAAAGUAAGACUAAUACCCAAUGACGUCUCUAGAAGACAUCUGAAAGGGAUUAAAGAUUUAUCGGUGAUGGAUGGGGAUGCGUCUGAUUAGCUUGUUGGCGGGGUAACAGCCCACCAAGGCGACGAUCAGUAGGGGUUCUGAGAGGAAGGUCCCCCACAUUGGAACUGAGACACGGUCCAAACUCCUACGGGAGGCAGCAGUGAGGAAUAUUGGUCAAUGGACGAGAGUCUGAACCAGCCAAGUAGCGUGCAGGAAGACGGCCCUAUGGGUUGUAAACUGCUUUUAUAAGGGAAUAAAGUGAGUCUCGUGAGACUUUUUGCAUGUACCUUAUGAAUAAGGACCGGCUAAUUCCGUGCCAGCCGCCGCCGUAACAC